rnacentral:misc_RNA from 1 species
UCCUCUGAUCCCCUUGGGUCGACCUGGGCCUUCAGCACUGAUCGCCCCGAAUUGCUCGCGGUCGUCGUGGUAGCGUGUCCGCAGCGACGAUCAAACCCCGA